UACGUAGGGUGCGAGCGUUAAUCGGAAUUACUGGGCGUAAAGAGUGCGUAGGCGGUUUCUCAAGUCCGCUGUGAAAUCCCCGGGCUUAACCUGGGAAUGGCAUUUGGGACUGCAAGGCUGGAGUUUGGCAGAGGAGACUGGAAUUCCUGGUGUAGCAGUGAAAUGCGUAGAUAUCAGGAGGAAUACCGAUGGCGAAGGCAGGUCUCUGGGCUAUAACUGACGCUCAUGCACGAAAGCGUGGGGAGCAAACAGG
rnacentral:rRNA from 1 species